rnacentral:rRNA from 1 species
GAAAGUCUGACGGAGCAACGCCGCGUGAGCGAAGAAGGCCUUCGGGUCGUAAAGCUCUGUUGUUAGGGAAGAACAAGUAACGCAGUAACUGGCGUUACCGUGACGGUACCUAACGAGAAAGCCACGGCUAACUACGUGCCAGCAGCCGCGGUAAUACGUAGGUGGCAAGCGUUGUCCGGAAUUAUUGGGCGUAAAGCGCGCGCAGGCGGUUCCUUAAGUCUGAUGUGAAAGCCCACGGCUCAACCGUGGAGGGUCAUUGGAAACUGGGGGACUUGAGUGCAGAAGAGGAGAGCGGAAUUCCACGUGUAGCGGUGAAAUGCGUAGAGAUGUGGAGGAACACCAGUGGCGAAGGCGGCUCUCUGGUCUGUAACUGACGCUGAGGCGCGAAAGCGUGGGGAGCAAACAGGAUUAGAUACCCUGGUAGUCCACGCCGUAAACGAUGAGUGCUAAGUGUUAGAGGGUAUCCACCCUUUAGUGCUGUAGCUAACGCAUUAAGCACUCCGCCUGGGGAGUACGCUCGCAAGAGUGAAACUCAAAGGAAUU